GAUGAACGCUGGCGGCGUGCCUAAUACAUGCAAGUCGAGCGAACAGACGAGGAGCUUGCUCCUCUGACGUUAGCGGCGGACGGGAGAGUAACACGUGUAUAACCUACCUAUAAGACUGGGAUAACUUCGGGAAACCGGAGCUAAUACCGGAUAAUAUAUUGAACCGCAUGGUUCAAUAGUGAAAGACGGUUUUGCUGUCACUUAUAGAUGGAUCCGCGCCGCAUUAGCUAGUUGGUAAGGUAACGGCUUACCAAGGCGACGAUGCGUAGCCGAACUGAGAGGGUGAUCGGCCACACUGGAGCUGAGACACGGUCCAGACGCCUACGGGAGGCAGCAGUAGGGAAUCUUCCGCAAUGGGCGAGAGCCUGACGGAGCAACGCCGCGUGAGUGAUGAAGGUCUUCGGAUCGUAAAGCUCUGUUAUUAGGGAAGAACAAAUGUGUAAGUAGCUAUGCACGUCUUGACGGUACCUAAUCAGAAAGCCACGGCUAACUACGUG
rnacentral:rRNA from 1 species